rnacentral:rRNA from 1 species
AGGGCACCACCAGGAGUGGAGCCUGCGGCUUAAUUUGACUCAACACGGGAAAACUCACCCGGCCCGGACACUGGAAGGAUUGACAGAUUGAGAGCUYUUUCUUGAUUCAGUGGGUGGUGGUGCAUGGCCGUUCUUAGUUGGUGGAGUGAUUUGUCUGGUUAAUUCCGAUAACGAACGAGACUCUAGCCUACUAAAUAGAUCGUCGGCUUACAAACGCCGGCGAGACUUCUUAGAGGGACAGGCGGUGAUUCAACCGCACGAAACAGAGCAAUAACAGGUCUGUGAUGCCCUUAGAUGUCCGGGGCCGCACGCGCGCUACACUGAAGUGAUCAGCGUGCUUUUUCAACCUACUCUGUCAAGAGUGGGGAACCCAAUGAACCUUCUUCGUGAUUGGGAUAGGGGAUUGUAAUUGUUCCCCUUGAACGAGGAAUUCCCAGUAAGCGCGAGUCAUAAGCUCGCGUUGAUUACGUCCCUGCCCUUUGUACACACCGCCCGUCGCUACUACCGAUUGAAUGUUUU